CUGUUCAGUAACAGAGCAAAGUGUGGUUUUGUUCCCUCCUGUAUUGCUACUAAGUAACAUCCGACAUCAUGUCUGAGACCUAAAAACCACUAGUGAGCCCACAGGGCCUGGGAGUUAAUUAUAACAUUGUUCGCUAGGUUUGGCUUGCGGUUUUCCUCUUAUAAUCAAAUGUCAGGCUUGGGGGAGGGAAGCUUAGUCGUGUGUUGCCGCGGAUGUUUUUAACCAAGAGUCUAAAGCUGUUUGAUAUUUUUGGCUUCAUAAUUCCCAUUUCCAGUUCUGAUUUGGGAAUAAAGCAAGACUGAAGUCCAAGUGGAAAAGAUGUCCUCCGCUGCAAAACAGCCUGGAGUUUCAAGAAUCCAGGAUGAUCUCGCUGGGUCAAGCUAGACCAUAUUAGACAUCUAAGAGGACAGAACCUGUGGGACAGAAACAAGGCGAGUGUCAUUUCUCAAGGCUCAAAUUCCCAAGAAGACAUGGCAUUUAACUGUAUCUUCCAAAGUUUAUCUUUCCAAAGGGAACUUGGUCUUGCAAUGUUAAGUGUGCAGAGAGACUGAAACUUUCACAGACCCCAACCCACCCCCAAGACACACUGUGGUAAACUCUCUGUCCUAUGUAUAGAGUGACAGUUUGCUUUUAUUUAUAGCACUAGGAACCCUCCAAGGUUCCUUUUCUUGCUUGAUCUCAUUUGUUUUUCAAGAAAAGAGAACAAGUUUGAUUCCAAUUUUACCAGUGAGGAAACGAAAUCAUGUCCUUCCCACAGCCCAGGGAUGUGAACCUUAGACUGUGGCUGCGCUUGAGAUGGUGCCUUACAAAAAAAUAAUUACAUCAAAAUGGGGUCACUGGGGUGAGCUCUAAUCCAACCUGACUGGUGUCUUUAUAAAGAGAGAUUAGAAUACAAAUACAAGCACCCAGGCAGGGUCACGUGAACACGCAGCAAGCGAUUCCCGCAAAGACAGGGCGGAGGAGGCCUGCCAUGAAGAAGCCAACCGCUCCCCACACAUUUUUUUUUUCCAGAAGUUUUAGCUUUCGAUAUGGGAAAAAAAAAAAACCUUUAUUUUAAGCCACCUGAUCCUUGGUGUUUUAUUAUGGCUGCCACUGCAGACUAGUGCAGGUUCCCAGGUUCUGAAAUUUUCCUGAGGUCUCACACUUAGCAAGAGCCAGAGUGAACUUCAGUUCGCAAAUCCUUUACAGAAAAAAAUAUUUUGUAUAAUAGAACCAAUUCUGCCACAUGGCUGGUCAUGUACAGCGGCUCUCUCACCGACUGACCGCCACGUCGUUCAAAUCUUAUUUAUAGCAAAAUGUCUCCAGGCAUGGAGGGAGGUGACCCAGGGCUCCUGCCCAGUUUCAGAGUCCAUCCACGGGAAGCUAAGGACCUUCAUCAAGCAUCACAGCGAGAUACAGGAAUGGGGACUACUGCCCAUCUUCACGAUUCCCACAGAACAACUGCUCUGGCUCCCAGCACCACACAGCAGAGGGCUUGGGUUUCCACUUGCUGCAAGUCUCUAGCUGCCUCUUAGGGAGGUGAUGGUGGUGCUGGCGACGGACCCACAGGCCUGGACUAGGGUGCUCAGAAAGCACGCUGCCCUCGUGCUGCCUUUUGAACCCCAUCCCACCAAACCUAUCAUCAAAGCUCCAGCAAUGUUUCCAGCUACUCGGAUGGGCUUACUUCCUGGGGAAGAGUCCCCCAGAUUUCAAACCAGAAACGCAUCUGGAAGAGAAGGAGCAAGCAGGGCUGCUUUCCUUCUGGCUCAGCGGACCUCAGGGACCUCACGGGUGCAGAAGGGAGGUGCUGGGAGGCCAGCAGUCGCCCAGGAAGAGAUCUGCUCCUGGGAAAGUCCUCAAAGUCAGGUGAAGUGUAGCAUGCUGAAAGAAAAAGGAGGGCGGAGCAGUGGGCCACUCCGCAGGACUCAAAGACAGGGGCGGGGGAGGGGGAGAGGGUGUGGUGGACCGCUGACAGAAAGUGGUGGCUAGCUGCAGGCUCCAAAGGGGACCUGUUCCCAGCUUGCCACUUGGAUGACACCUUUCAAAGCCCCGCGCGGAGACACCAGGACAAAGGGAUGAGAAGCUCCGCAGCGAGGGUGCGGCGCCUCCCCGCUUUUGAGCUCAGCGCAGCCCUGAGCCGCCCUCAGCCGCUCGCUGGUGCUCCUUCGCUGGUGUCCUUUGAUCCACCGACUGCUCCAGCAAGCCAGAGGAGGGGUGCCCAGCUCCCCACUAGAGGGGAGGUAGGAUUUCUUUGAAAUGGAACAACUAUCCUGUUGGCUUAAUAGGAAGCUAUCCACUGCAGAAAUAGUUGGGUUUGCUUCCCAUUUCCCCCCACCAAACCAAGAAGAAGGUCGUUUGCAAGAAAGCUCCCUUUGAGAAGGUAACUCUCAUUCACAGAGAGCUGGGUGGGUGGAAGACUUUCACUGGUUGUUAUGUUAGGGGGUGAGAAUGUCGCGCCUGCCCAGACAGGGUAGUUCCAUCCUCAGGCAUAGCGUGAGAAGCCAGUGCCUGCAGCCUUGAUGUGUUCUUUCACACUGUCUUAAAGUUUAUGACUCCUCUGCAGACCACACCUUGCUCUCCUGGCUGGUUCUGCUGAUUGGAAUGUGACUUUAAAACAGCUGUUUACAGACUGCUUGAUCAUUCCCAUCCUGAACUCUUCCUGGACAGGAGACAGCUGCUCUAGAGUUUAGAUGUUUAAAACAAAACCCUUCCAACUAGGAUCACAACAGUCUUAUCUUCCAAACAGCAAAAAGUAGAGCCUUUAAUAACAUCAUGCAGAUUCAAUUCAAACGAACUCCUCAGAUUUCGGAGGGCUAGCAACUCUGUUUAAUGUCACCAAAGAAUGAUUUCUGAGCUUAAGAAAUUACAGACC